CUGUUUUGUUUUAAAAUAUUAAAUUUAACUUUUAAGUGAAAAGGCUUAAAUUUUAUAAAGGGACGAUAAGACCCUAUAAAACUUAAUAUAAAGUAUUUUAUUUUUUAUAUUUGUUAGUUUAUUAAUAAAUAAGAUAUGGUAUAUUGUGCUGGGGCGGCAGAGAUAUAUUGAAACUGUCUUUUAUAAAAACAGAAAUGUUUGGUUUAAAUGAUCCUUUAUUUGAAGAUUUAAAGAUUAAGUUACUUUAGGGAUAACAGCGUAAUCUUUUUUGAGAGUUCUUAUCGAUAGAAAGGAUUGCGACCUCGAUGUUGAAUUAAAAGUUCUUUAUGGUGUAGCAUUUAUAAAAGAAGGUCUGUUCGACCUUUAAUUUUUUA
rnacentral:rRNA from 1 species